UCCAAUCACAGGUGCUCAGCGCCCUCUCGCUGUUCGUCAAAUAUAUGCACGCGAUAGCGACACUUGCCCCGCAGAUAUACAGCGACCCCGGCUCGCGUCUGAGGAUUUGCCCCUACCUAUUUGCAUAUUUGCCCUCCGGGUUCCAUCAAUCAGCGCAACCACAUCAUCAAUCAUCACCGCCGCCGUCGGCUGCCGCCAGCUCCCUUGCUCGCCGGCUUCGCGCCCGCCCCCGCCGCGUCGCCGCCGCCUCCUGCCGGCGCUGGCGGCCCGCCCGUCACCCCCUCCAGCUGGUCGUCCAUCUCGCUGUACAGCGACUUGAGCUGUGCCAGCUGGUCCUUGUUGGGGCUCCACAUGCCGCGGCCCGCCGCCUCCAGCAUGCGCCGCAGCACGUUGGCAAAGGCCUGGUGGGUGGCGUGACAAGAGGAGGAGUGGAGAGGGGCCGGGGAGAGGAGGAAUGGAGAGGGGCAGUGGAGAGGGGUAGUGGAGAGGGGCAGUGGAGAUAGAAGAGAGGAGAGGAGAGGGGUAGCCAUCCACACAAAUGUGGGAUACGAUCAGGUUGCGAGGAGUGUGCCGGACAGCGCGGAUGAGGAGGUGUCUCGCCUGCUGCUGUACACGCGGCACGCACCUGCGGGUUGUUCUUCUUGAGCUUGCUGGCCAUCUCCUCAUCGCCCACAUACGUGUCCAUGGCCUGACAUCAGUGCGAUUGAGGGGGAGAUGGAGGGGGAGAUGGAGGGGGCACGGGAGCGUGUGUGUUUGUGUCUGGUGUGGUCGGAGGCGAGGAAGGGUGGGUUUAUCCCCCCCCCCAUUCCAUGAAGCCAUGAGCAUCACAGGCCAUUUUGGUUCACAUUACAGGCAUCACGCCCCCCCGCUUGCAACUAACGCCUCUGCCUGCACUCCCGUUUUCGUUGGUUUUGGUUUAGUUUGGGCUGGUAUUUACAACCCCCCCCCCCCACACACGUGCCGCUCCCUUCCCCUCUCCGGGCUCGCAGAUCCCCGCCCGCCCACCUCCACCAACCCACCCUCCUCCACCAACCCUAUACCACCAACCCUCCCCCCCCCUCCCUCCCCCCCUCCCUCCCCCCUCCCUCGCCUCCUCACCUGGUCCCACACCCAGCCCUCCCUGAAAUCGGUGGUGGCGCCCCAGCCCACCAACGCCGUCAUGCGCUGACUGAUCUCGUAGGCGCCGCCGCUGCCCUGCGCCGCCAUGGCCCGGGCCCACCUGCGGCCGGGUGGGGAUUCCAUACAGAAUGAUACCGGUAGAUUAAGAAGUGAAGUUGUAGCCAGGCAGGGGAGGAGCGAUGGGGCGGUGGGGGCGAUGUAUGACGUAGGGUCAUGAAGUGGGGGGCAGUGGGGUGCGCAACUACCAGUUGUGGCUCUUGCGCACGUCUCUCAGUAUACACACGUCUCUUCAUCAUCUCCUAGCGUGCCCCGCUCGAGUCAUGCAUCAAGUUACACACGGUACCCGGUAACCAUACCAACAACAAGCGCCCACCACCACUGAGCAACCGAAUCCCCGAACCCCUCGCCCCCU
rnacentral:lncRNA from 1 species